rnacentral:rRNA from 1 species
GACGAACGCUGGCGGCGUGCUUAACACAUGCAAGUCGAACGGAAAGGCCCUGCUCUUGUGGGGUUCUCGAUUGGCGAACGGGUGAGUAACACGUGAGUAACCUGCCCUUGACUUUGGGAUAACUUCAGGAAACUGGGGCUAAUACCCGAUAUGAGCUCCUGCUGCAUGGUGGGGGUUGGAAAGUUUCGGCGGUUGGGGAUGGACUCGCGGCUUAUCAGCUUGUUGGUGGGGUAGUUGCUUACCAAGGCUUUGACGGGUAGCCGGCCUGAGAGGGUGACCGGCCACAUUGGGACUGAGAUAGGGACCAGAAUCCUACGGGAGGCAGCAGUGGAGAAUAUUGCACAAUGGGCGGAAGUCAGAUACAGCAACGCCGCGUGCGGGAUGAUGUCCUUCGGGUUGUAAACCGCUGUGUCAUGUGACGAAGCGUGAGUGACGGUAAUGGGUAAAGAAGCACCGGCUAACUACGUG